rnacentral:rRNA from 1 species
UACAGAGGUCUCAAGCGUUGUUCGGAUUCAUUGGGCGUAAAGGGUGCGUAGGUGGCGCGGUAAGUCGGGUGUGAAAUUUCGGAGCUUAACUCCGAAACUGCAUUCGAUACUGCCGUGCUUGAGGACUGGGAGAGGAGACUGGAAUUUACGGUGUAGCAGUGAAAUGCGUAGAGAUCGAUAAGGAAGACCAGUGGCGAAGGCGGGUCUCUGGACAGUUCCUGACACUGAGGCACGAAGGCCAGGGGAGCAAACGGG